GAUGAACGCUGGCGGCGUGCCUAAUACAUGCAAGUCGAACGAGGUGCUUUUGUAGCAAUACGAAGGUAUCCUAGUGGCGAACGGGUGAGUAACGCGUUGGUGACCUGCCCCAAAGUGUGGGAUAACAGUUCGAAAGGAUUGCUAAUACCGCAUGUGGUCAUUGGAAUUAGAAACCGAUGACAAAAGCAGUAAUGCGCUUUGGGAGGGACCUGCGUCCCAUCAGCUAGUUGGUGAGGUAACGGCCCACCAAGGCUACGAUGCGUAGCAGCGCUGAGAGGCGGAACUGCCACACUGGGACUGAGACACGGCCCAGACUCCUACGGGUGCAG
rnacentral:rRNA from 1 species